rnacentral:rRNA from 1 species
GACGAACGCUGGCGGCGUGCUUAACACAUGCAAGUCGAACGGAAAGGCUCCAGCUUGCUGGAGUACUCGAGUGGCGAACGGGUGAGUAACACGUGGGUAAUCGGCCCUGCACUCGGGGAUAACCCGGGGAAACGGGUUCUAAUACGGGAUAGAACCUUUCUCCUUUGGGGGUUGGUUGGAAGUUUUUCGGUGUAGGAUGAGCCCGCGGCCUAUCAGCUUGUUGGUGGGGUGAUGGCCUACCAAGGCGACGACGGGUAGCCGGCCUGAGAGGGUGAUCGGCCACAUUGGGACUGAGAUACGGCCCAGACUCCUACGGGAGGCAGCAGUGGGGAAUAUUGCACAAUGGGCGGAAGCCUGAUGCAGCGACACCGCGUGAGGGAUGACGGCCUUCGGGUUGUAAACCUCUUUCAGCAGGGACGAAGCGUAAGUGACGGUACCUGCAGAAGAAGCACCGGCUAACUAUGUG